rnacentral:misc_RNA from 1 species
AAGGAUCAUUAUUGAUUCACGGGAAAGGGAUGUGCUGGCAAAAGAGCAUCUCUUUUUGCAUUGUGCACUCCUGCACUCCCUCCUUCUGAAUUUUGUCCCUGUGCACCCUUUGUAGAUGGGAAUUUUGGAGUUCCUUCAUUUUCCUGUCUAUGCUCUUUUGUUACAACCCAAAAUUUAGUUGUUUUAAAUGUUUGGCUUGUAUAGCCAGCUAAAAAUAUAAUCACAACUUUCAACAAUGGAUCUCUCGGUUCUC